CGGCCGUUGAGAUGGACAAUGGUGGCUCUGUUGAAAGGCUGAGGCUGGGCUCUGAACGAGUGCAUUUUAAUUGAGCACUUUCCACCCUGAGAUCUGUGGGGAUCUGGUGGCCCACGCCUCGCCCAGUCAUUUUGUCUUUGCAGCUUCAGAACCAAGUUAUUGCAGCCCCUUGUUCCCUUUUCAGCCUGGGCUGGUUUGUUCCACAAUGGCGGCUCAAACCAACUAAGAACACGCGUGUCUCGAAGAACAGCCUUUCCCACGGUCAAGCUCAGCAUGCCUUCUGCCAGACAUGUCCCCUUACCACCAUCUCCAUGGGAUUCAUCUGUACAAAAGCACACUUGCCACUAGUCUGUGAAAUUAAACCUUUGCAUCCU
rnacentral:lncRNA from 1 species